rnacentral:rRNA from 1 species
GACGAACGCUGGCGGCGUGCCUAAUACAUGCAAGUCGAGCGAGCGGAACUAACAGAUUUACUUCGGUAAUGACGUUAGGAAAGCGAGCGGCGGAUGGGUGAGUAACACGUGGGGAACCUGCCCCAUAGUCUGGGAUACCACUUGGAAACAGGUGCUAAUACCGGAUAAGAAAGCAGAUCACAUGAUCAGCUUUUAAAAGGCGGCGUAAGCUGUCGCUAUGGGAUGGCCCCGCGGUGCAUUAGCUAGUUGGUAAGGUAAAGGCUUACCAAGGCGAUGAUGCAUAGCCGAGUUGAGAGACUGAUCGGGCACAUUGGGACUGAGACACGGCCCAAACUCCUACGGGAGGCAGCAGUAGGGAAUCUUCCACAAUGGACGCAAGUCUGAUGGAGCAACGCCGCGUGAGUGAAGAAGGUUUUCGGAUCGUAAAGCUCUGUUGUUGGUGAAGAAGGAUAGAGGUAGUAACUGGCCUUUAUUUGACGGUAAUCAACCAGAAAGUCACGGCUAACUACGUGCCAGCAGCCGCGGUAAUACGUAGGUGGCAAGCGUUGUCCGGAUUUAUUGGGCGUAAAGCGAGCGCAGGCGGAAGAAUAAGUCUGAUGUGAAAGCCCUCGGCUUAACCGAGGAACUGCAUCGGAAACUGUUUUUCUUGAGUGCAGAAGAGGAGAGUGGAACUCCAUGUGUAGCGGUGGAAUGUGUAGAUAUAUGGAAGAACACCAGUGGCGAAGGCGGCUCUCUGGUCUGCAACUGACGCUGAGGCUCGAAAGCAUGGGUAGCGAACAGGAUUAGAUACCCUGGUAGUCCAUGCCGUAAACGAUGAGUGCUAAGUGCUGGGAGGUUUCCGCCUCUCAGUGCUGCAGCUAACGCAUUAAGCACUCCGCCUGGGGAGUACGACCGCAAGGUUGAAACUCAAAGGAAUUGACGGGGGCCCGCACAAGCGGUGGAGCAUGUGGUUUAAUUCGAAGCAACGCGAAGAACCUUACCAGGUCUUGACAUCUAGUGCCAUUUGUAGAGAUACAAAGUUCCCUUCGGGGACGCUAAGACAGGUGGUGCAUGGCUGUCGUCAGCUCGUGUCGUGAGAUGUUGGGUUAAGUCCCGCAACGAGCGCAACCCUUGUUAUUAGUUGCCAGCAUUAAGUUGGGCACUCUAAUGAGACUGCCGGUGACAAACCGGAGGAAGGUGGGGAUGACGUCAAGUCAUCAUGCCCCUUAUGACCUGGGCUACACACGUGCUACAAUGGGCAGUACAACGAGAAGCGAGCCUGCGAAGGCAAGCGAAUCUCUGAAAGCUGUUCUCAGUUCGGACUGCAGUCUGCAACUCGACUGCACGAAGCUGGAAUCGCUAGUAAUCGCGGAUCAGCACGCCGCGGUGAAUACGUUCCCGGGCCU